ACACGACUACAUUAGAUACCCGGGUAGUCCCAGCCCUAAACGAUGCGCGUUAGGUGUAUCGGUGACCACGAGUCACCGAGGUGCCGAAGGGAAACCGUGAAACGUGCCGCCUGGGAAGUACGGUCGCAAGGCUGAAGCUUAAAGGAAUUGGCGGGGGAGCACCACAACGGGUGGAGCCUGCGGUUUAAUUGGACUCAACGCCGGGAAGCUCACCGGAUAAGACAGCGGAAUGAUUGCCGGGCUGAAGACCCUGCAUGACCAGCUG
rnacentral:rRNA from 1 species